GAUGAACGCUGGCGGCGUGCCUAACACAUGCAAGUCGAGCGAUCUUCUUCGGAAGAGAGCGGCGGACGGGGGAGUAACGCGUGGGUAACCUGCCCUGUACACACGGAUAACAUACCGAAAGGUAUGCUAAUACGGGAUAACAUAAGAAAUUCGCAUGUUUUUCUUAUCAAAGCUCCGGCGGUACAGGAUGGACCCGCGUCUGAUUAGCUAGUUGGUGAGGGAACGGCUCACCAAGGCGACGAUCAGGAGCCGACCUGAGAGGGUGAUCGGCCACAUUGGAACUGAGACACGGUCCAAACUCCUACGGGAGGCAGCAGUGGGGAAUAUUGCACAAUGGGCGAAAGCCUGAGGCAGCAACGCCGCGUGAGCGAUGAAGGCCUUCGGGGCGUAAAGCUCUGUCCUCAAGGAAGAUAAUGACGGUACUUGAGGAGGAAGCCCCGGCUAACUACGUGCCAGCCGCCGCCGUAA
rnacentral:rRNA from 1 species